rnacentral:rRNA from 1 species
GUGGACGCCAGUCUGCAUGGAGCCGACCUUGAAAUACCACCCUUUAAUGUUUGAUGUUCUAACGUGGACCCGUAAUCCGGGUUGCGGACAGUGUCUGGUGGGUAGUUUGACUGGGGCGGUCUCCUCCUAAAGAGUAACGGAGGAGCACGAAGGUUGGCUAAUCCUGGUCGGACAUCAGGAGGUUAGUGCAAUGGCAUAAGCCAGCUUGACUGCGAGCGUGACGGCGCGAGCAGGUGCGAAAGCAGGUCAUAGUGAUCCGGUGGUUCUGAAUGGAAGGGCCAUCGCUCAACGGAUAAAAGGUACUCCGGGGAUAACAGGCUGAUACCGCCCAAGAGUUCAUAUCGACGGCGGUGUUUGGCACCUCGAUGUCGGCUCAUCACAUCCUGGGGCUGAAGUAGGUCCCAAGGGUAUGGCUGUUCGCCAUUUAAAGUGGUACGCGAGCUGGGUUUAGAACGUCGUGAGACAGUUCGGUCCCUAUCUGCCGUGGGCGCUGGAGAACUGAGGGGGGCUGCUCCUAGUACGAGAGGACCGGAGUGGACGCAUCACUGGUGUUCGGGUUGUCAUGCCAAUGGCACUGCCCGGUAGCUAAAUGCGGAAGAGAUAAGUGCUGAAAGCAUCUAAGCACGAAACUUGCCCCGAGAUGAGUUCUCCCUGAGACUUAGAGUCUCCUGAAGGAACGUUGAAGACGACGACGUUGAUAGGCCGGGUGUGUAAGCGCAGCGAUGC